CCGGAAGGGGAGUGAAAUAGAACCUGAAACCGUGUGCUUACAAGUAGUCAGAGCCCGUUAAUGGGUGAUGGCGUGCCUUUUGUAGAAUGAACCGGCGAGUUACGAUUUGAUGCAAGGUUAAGCAGUAAAUGUGGAGCCGUAGCGAAAGCGAGUCUGAAUAGGGCGUUUAGUAUUUGGUCGUAGACCCGAAACCAGGUGAUCUACCCUUGGUCAGGUUGAAGUUCAGGUAACACUGAAUGGAGGACCGAACCGACUUACGUUGAAAAGUGAGCGGAUGAACUGAGGGUAGCGGAGAAAUUCCAAUCGAACCUGGAGAUAGCUGGUUCUCUCCGAAAUAGCU
rnacentral:rRNA from 1 species